rnacentral:lncRNA from 1 species
CCUGCUGCGAGACAGUGGUGUUUGCUCCCGCAGCUGAGUGGAGUGCAUGGAGAGAGCUGUCUGACCUGGAUGACACCACCAAAGUGCAAGGACUGGCAUUGAUGACAGAAAUGAAGUUUUCUAGCUCUUGAAUCUGGAGAGAAUAUGGUGAAAAGAAGAUGAGGGCAGUCUGCACUGAUCAGAAUUUUUGGGGACUUCUGCAAGUGCAGCAUAUGGUUCAGCUGCUAGAAAACCAACCAAUCAAUCCUUGGGGCAGGGCAUGAAAGGAACAAUGUACCCUCAUGGUUGGAAGAAACUAGAGUCAGGUGAGGGUGAUCCAUUGCACUCUUUUCCAC